rnacentral:lncRNA from 1 species
AAGCAGUGGAAACCACUUUUCAAAGGUGUGGAGACUGAUGAACUGGAGUUGCUGACAACAAGACUGAAGGAAUGCUAUGCUGGACUGCGAAAUAUCAGAACUGGGGUGGAUGAUCAGUUCCAUUGCCAAAUGGAAACAAAUAUGUUAGCAUUAGAGUUGAGGACUUUGUUUUUGGAUGAUCGAUUCUACAUGGAUGAAUCCAUUGUGGAUUUGUUGAGGUUGUCCUCCAGGUAUGGUCCAAUUGUUGUGGAUGAAAUUACUUAUUGCCCGGGGCACUCAAAUUUUAACAAAAUUAUGUGCAACACUUGGGGGUGUAUCUAUAUAGUGUUUUUGUGA